GCCCUGUCAGGAGCCAGCGCAGCUGUGGGAUCGCGCUGGCCCGCUCCCCCCUGUCUUUAUGUUUGGUCCGGUCCCAGGACAUCAGUUACCUGUCAAUCUCCCUCACUCCUCCUUCGCUCCUCCCCAGUUUGGUUAGGUUCCUCCCCGAGUCCCUGUCCGUCAUCCAGCACACUCUUCCCACCUUCUAGAAGUUUCUCUGAGUUCUGCGGGGUGAUUGGACGAGGGGCCGGGGCCACUCCCCUGAGUUACUCUGGUUGGUUGUUAGGUUUGUCUGUUAAUAUCUUGUUACACCCCCCCUACCCCCUGAUUGGUUGCUUUGUAUCCCUUAUAACCUGCUGUCGGGCACAUUUCUCUGUCUUUCGGCGGUCCUCCCUUGGGAAUUAAACCGAACUUUGGCACCCCGAAGGAACGUCUCCUGUCAUUCCUGCGGACUGCAGUCUUCGUCGUUCUCCGGGAUCCUCCGUCACUCCGGGCCUCCACGCCCUAGGCGCACCCCAAUCCUCGAGAGGAUACAGGGGGCGUCAUUGUGCUGCCAGUGACGCUGGCCUCGGCCAGCCGGGUUUUCUGUCGAGGCUGACGCACUGCUGCAGUUUGGCGCCCAACGUGGGGCCCUGAGAAGAUCACCAGGGCACGCGGACGAGGAUUCCGGAUCCCUGGACUCAGUCCGUUUGGAUUCGGAUCUAACCUCUGUGGCCGUCAAGCUACCCUGUGGUGAGCAGACCCCGUUUUAGGGGUGGCGCUCCCCAGGGAUCGGGACCGGUAGCUCCAGCACCCAGGAGUCGGCUCCCUCCGCAGGAUCCUCCCGCCUUGGACCCUUCCCGGAUCAGUCGUCAAGUGUGAGUUUUUCGCUCCUUUCUCUCCCUCACCCCCGCCUUUUUAAACUCACCUCGUUUUCCGCGGUUUCAUCCGCUCUGGCCGUUUUAUCGGCCCAUUCAAUUCAAGUCCUGCAGGCCAUUUUUUUUUUCUCUACCGGCAUAGACCGGCGGCGGGAUUUGGCGACUGUCCCUUUUCUGCACCCUCUCCUUUUUCGUUUUUCCAAGGCGGCCGGGCUUGGGUCGUCACUUAACAACAGCAUGGGUGCAAAAGUCUCGACGACCCAAAAGAGGCUUGUUAGAAAAGUUCAGGGGGUUUUAGUUGUGGGGGGUUUUGAUAAUAUUCACAAAAAGGAUAUUAAAAUGUUGGUUGCUUGGCUCCUCUCCCAAUUCCCUACCACAGACCCCGAGCAGAUUCUUAACCAUACGUUCUGGUCCCAUGUCGUUUUAAAAGCUAACAGUAUGUGCCGCUCUGGGGACUCUAAGAUGUUAAAAAUCGCGUAUCUAAGCUCAACUAUUCGGGACCUUUUACGAUCUAAGAGGCAAUUGGGAGAGCAGCCAACCUCACCUGGGUUCGUCCCCAGUUCGGUUGCGUGUUCUUCCCCUACCCCUUUUCCCUCUACCUCUACCCCAAGAUCUGGGAUCCUGAAGAGAGCAGCCCGCGAUGGCAGCGCGCAGGAAUUAUACCAUCCUCCUGGCUCUCUUCAGGGUGUCCCUUCCCCCCGCCCGAGGAGUCCUGGCCAGACUCUUCGGGAUUCUCCCUGUCCCCCCUUUUCCCCAGUUAAGUGUUUAAAAAGUUCGAAAUCUGUUCGUUUUUAUCCUCCUCCUUCCCCUACCCCUUCGGGAGAUUCACCAUCACAAGAUGGCGCGGAUGAAUCCCAAAAUGGCGGAGACCUCAUGGGUUUUCCCGCCGAAACGCCUCCUUCCUCCCGAAAUCCCUUUCGUUCCCCGCGAAACCCUUUCCGUUUCCCUGACCCCUCCUCUUCCUCAGUUCCCUCCGCUCCGCCCUUGCCUCCGCCCCUCCCUCUGCGCGGUGCUCCGCCCCCAGCUCCACCUUUCGAAGCCUCCGCCUCUGAGGCGGGGACAACGCCAUCGGUCCCCGCCCCCGUCACCGGCUCCUCCCCUUCCGCCCCGGGCCCUGGUUCCCACGCUCCCUCUUCCGGUUCCCACGCUCCAUCGGGUGCUGGGGGGGGGGCUGGGGCCUGGAACCAGGGGCCGCUGCUUAACCUUUCCACGGCUCCGGUUUCUUACAUCCCGGGGAGGGAAGGGAGGACCCAGGCCCAGUGGAUCCCCUUUUCAAAUCAAACUAUCAAAGAGUUGUGUAAGGCCCAGAAGGAUUACUCCAGGGACAGUGAGUUUUUCCGGGGAAUCCUGAGGGCCACACUAACAGAUGCCAUCGUCAUUCCUGCCGAUCUCCGGCGGAUCUUUUCGUGCUUGCUUAGCCCCUCAGAGUUCCGUCUCUGGGAGGCAAAUUGGAAACGAGAGAUAGGCAAGAUUUUGCCUCAAUUAUGGCAAGAUGCAAGCUCCGCCAGGGACACGGAGGGAGGAAUGAUUUCUACAGACCAUCUUUGUGGCAUCGGGGACUGGGCAGACGGGAACUACCAGGCUUGGUAUAUCCCUGCAGAGGCACUUAAGGCAACAACAUCUGCAGCAUUGAAAGCGUUCACUGCCCUUAGACCUCCUACUGCUCCCCUCAUUUCAUAUACUAAAAUUAUACAAGAAGAUAACGAACCGUUUCUUCUUUUUACUGAGCGGUUAAGGAAAGCAGUAGAGAUGCAGGUGCGGGAUGAGGCGACCCGGGAGGAAAUCCUGACAGAGAUGGCAGCCACCAAUGCAAAUCCUGCGUGCAAGGCUGCCAUCCUCAGCCUCCCCUUUGACCCUCCACCGGACCUGACCCAAAUGCUGCAAGUUUGCGAAAGGAAGGUGUCUGUCCUCCCCGAAAGUACUCCCAGAGGACAGCGCCCAACUCAGCGGAGAGUCGCCGCAGCAGAAUCUACCACGGCAGAGGACAGUAAUCCAGCACCGCAUCGGACGCCCCGUCCCAUCCGAAGACCACCUCCCUGCGCCGAUGCUCCGUGCCACUUAUGCCAAAAGACUGGGCAUUGGAUGCCUGACUGCCCGUUGAGGAAAGAGUUUUAUAACUUUAAGUUCCAUCAGAAACCUCAACGGGCCGAUCAACACUCAAAAAACUAACUCAAGAGCGCGAGGCCUCCCCGCGCAAAGAUAAAAGUAGGGCGGAGAACUUUCCAUCUCGCGGGGGGGGAGGAGGAGGGGAACAGCCGGAGGCGGUUCCCCAGGUUAAUCCGCCUACGUUGUCAAAUCCACAGGACUCGACUACUUCAUAUCCAAUACUGACUACCACUUCUAAUAUCUCUCCGUACAGGCUCCAGCUCAUCGAGCCCUUACACCUGACAGACACCAGUUUCCGGGAAGUCUCCGUCUCGCCAGACGCACAAGGUACUUGGUGGCGGGUCAAAUGGCCCAUGCUAUGGCAGCCCCACUGGAGACUGCACGACUCACGGCCUUCGUCAUCAUUCUCUCACUCCUUGCGCUACCAUCUACGCCGUGGGUCGUUCCCCAGCCAAGAAAAAACGUUUGGAAAACUCUCGCCGACGCCCUCGGUCAAGACAGUCUCUGCCUCACCACCGCAUCAGCAGCAGACCCCUUGUCCACCUGCCUUGUGGGGAUCCCGUCUCUUCCAGAUGAGUUGCCCUUGUCCCUCCGUGAUUCUCUAGAACCUUUUUUCAAUAAUAAAAUCAACCGCCCCUCUGACCCUAACCCCAAUGUUGUCUGGAGGAGAUUUGCCAGCAAAUUAAAUCAGUCCAAGACCGAACCCCUAGAAUUUAAAUUGCUCGGGUCCUCCACAUUUUAUUUUUGUAUUCAAUUCUUCCCUUACUCCGACCUAGACACUUCCCUACAAAUUGCAAAUAUCACCGCAAAUGUCUCACUUUGCCCUUCCCUGUCACAGAUUACAACCUCGAUUACCCAGGACUUUAAACCUCGCUCUCUACCCAAUGGUUAUUUUUUCAUUUGUGGGGACCGAGCUUGGCAAGGCAUCCCCUCUCGCCUUCUCGGAGGCCCAUGUACUAUCGGCCGGCUGUCGCUGUUCACACCCAGCACAAGUCAAAUUGUUAAUUGGCAGAAGAUAGAAGUCGCACCAAAUUCGAAUCGGACAAGACGAGAUUUAACUAAUUUGGACAGUUCGUGCGACGAAGAAAUUUUCCAUUGGAGUAAGCCAGAGGAGGUGGCAUGGAUCACCUUCCUCCCCUGGGUGGCAGUCGCUCAAUCAUUAGGCGAAUUAGGCCACCUCGAGUGCUGGGUGGCGAAACAAGCAAAUCUUACAUCAGCCGCGCUAAGUGACCUUCUACAAGACGAGGAAAUCACAAGGCAGGCCACUUUGCAGAACAGAGCAGCAAUAGAUUUUCUAUUGCUGCUCCAUGACCAUCGCUGCCAGGACUUUGAGGGGCUCUGCUGCUUGAAUUUGACUUCUAAGGCCGAGGACGUCCGUCUCGCCAUUGACCAGAUGCGAGAGAUGAUCAGCAAAAUCAAGGAAGACUCCGCGGACUGGCUGGGGAACUUGUUCUCAGGAUGGGGACUGUCAGGGUGGCUUGGGUCGGUGUUAAAAACUAUUAUUUCAGUUGUGUUUGUUGUUUUACUGGUUCUUAUCGUUAUUUCAAUUUUAUGGACAAUUCUUAAGAGACUCAUGAUUAAGUUGACUGCCCCAGCGGUCGUAAACCAUGUGAUGGAGCUUCAGCCAUCAGAAGGAGAAGAAGAUCUACGGUACGAAGACUUUGGUUACGACUGCUGGGAAGAAGAUGUUUAGUUCCGUUUAUUUUUCUUUAUUUUUAAACAAAAAAGGGGGAGAUGUGGGAUCGCGCUGGCCCGCUCCCCCCUGUCUUUAUGUUUGGUCCGGUCCCAGGACAUCAGUUACCUGUCAAUCUCCCUCACUCCUCCUUCGCUCCUCCCCAGUUUGGUUAGGUUCCUCCCCGAGUCCCUGUCCGUCAUCCAGCACACUCUUCCCACCUUCUAGAAGUUUCUCUGAGUUCUGCGGGGUGAUUGGACGAGGGGCCGGGGCCACUCCCCUGAGUUACUCUGGUUGGUUGUUAGGUUUGUCUGUUAAUAUCUUGUUACACCCCCCCUACCCCCUGAUUGGUUGCUUUGUAUCCCUUAUAACCUGCUGUCGGGCACAUUUCUCUGUCUUUCGGCGGUCCUCCCUUGGGAAUUAAACCGAACUUUGGCACCCCGAA